CCGAGUUUACAACUCCCAAACCCCUGUGAACAUACCUUAUCGUUGCCUCGGCGGAUCAGCCCCGGCGCCCUAGGCCCGGGACAGGCCCGCCGCAGGAGACCCCUAAACUCUGUAUUCUUAGUGAUCUUCUGAGUAUAAAAAGCAAAUAAAUCA
rnacentral:misc_RNA from 1 species